rnacentral:rRNA from 2 species
UGGGGAAUAUUGGGCAAUGGGCGCAAGCCUGACCCAGCAACGCCGCGUGAGGGAAGAAGGUCUUCGGAUUGUAAACCUCUGUCCUUGGGGACGAAAAAAAUGACGGUACCCAAGGAGGAAGCUCCGGCUAACUACGUGCCAGCAGCCGCGGUAAUACGUAGGGGGCGAGCGUUGUCCGGAAUGAUUGGGCGUAAAGGGCGCGUAGGCGGCCGAGCAAGUCAGUAGUGGAAGUCCAAUUUUCAAGGUUGGAAGUGCUAUUGAAACUGCAGGGCUUGAGUGCAGGAGAGGUUAUCGAAAUUCCCGGUGUAGCGGUGAAAUGCGUAGAGAUCGGGAGGAACACCAGUGGCGAAGGCGGGUAACUGGACUGCAACUGACGCUGAGGCGCGAAAGUGUGGGGAGCAAACAGG